CUCGUUCCUGCGGUAAAAGUAUUAUUCUAUAAGAAAGAACCACAAAAGUUUAUAGAAAAAUGUACUUUAUUUUCUGAUUCUCUGGAAUCUCUACUAGUAAUAAUGCUUGUUUUCUCCUUUUUUUUUUUUUUUCUAAUACAUAUAUAUUCAAAUAAGAAAAGACAUUCUAGGACUCACAGAAAUACGAUGAAAAGAGCAAAAGAUGCUGUUCUCUCUUUUGCAGAAGGGGGUUUUUAAUGCACCUCCCAAAGCAAGCAGCUCAGAAUCCUAAGGAGGCCACAAAAUUUUCAAAGAAAAAGGCCCCAACUGCACAAUCUUCUGGUUUUGAUAUUGUCACAUUUGAAAGCACCUUAAAAAGAGGGCCUUCUGAGGCCAAACUAGAGUAUAGAUAAGGACAAGUAUUUUGAACUCGAGAAGAUGGUGAUGGGCAUAGUGGUUGAGCUGUAGACUUUUUAAUGUUUCAAAUCACUACAAAUGCUCACCGUUUUGGCUUCCAACCAAGGUGAAGUUGUGGUCCACUUCCUUUUUUCUUCUCUUUUUUAAUUUGUAGAUUCUUUUGAUUCAAUUUGAAGUUUGGCCAUAUGUUUAGGAAAGUUAUUAUUAUUAUUUUUUUUCUCAAUAGUGGUAUUAAGAAGGUUUGAAAGGACAUGAUUUUUCUUAUUUGUUUACUUUUUGGGAAUCUGCUAGAAGGCUGCUGUGUGUGGAUGGAUUGAAAUUUUGAAACUUUAGGAAGAGGGAAUGAUAUGGUUUAGAUUUAUUAUUGAUUUGA